UCAUACCAGCACUAAAGCACCGGAUCCCAUCAGAACUCCGAAGUUAAGCGUGCUUGGGCGAGAAUAGUACUAGGAUGGGUGACCUCCUGGGAAGUCCUCGUGUUGCAUUCC
rnacentral:rRNA from 1 species